AGGAGACAUGCAGGAUCUGAUUGGGAAUUAUUGCUUUUUUUGGCAAUUGGUCAGAUCCAGGUUGGAAGAUAAAUGGAGAGGAAUAUCAGCUGCGAGACAGGUGCAGAUUCCCAAAAGUCUUCAUCAGUUAUACAUGAGAAAGAGAAAAUCAGACAGACAGAGGGGUGCUGACAAAAGACCAAAUAAAUGUCAGUGCUGUCAGCCUGGCUUGACAUGAGGGAAGUGUCAUUUCUUGGAAGACAGGAUUAGGAAG